UGGGGAAUAUUGCACAAUGGGCGAAAGCCUGAUGCAGCAACGCCGCGUGAGUGAUGAAGGUCUUCGGAUUGUAAAGCUCUGUCUUUUGGGACGAUAAUGACGGUACCAAAGGAGGAAGCCACGGCUAACUACGUGCCAGCAGCCACGGUAAUACGUAGGUGGCGAGCGUUGUCCGGAUUUACUGGGCGUAAAGGGUGCGUAGGCGGAUGUUUAAGUGAGAUGUGAAAUACCCGGGCUUAACUUGGGUGCUGCAUUUCAAACUGGAUAUCUAGAGUGCAGGAGAGGAGAAUGGAAUUCCUAGUGUAGCGGUGAAAUGCGUAGAGAUUAGGAAGAACACCAGUGGCGAAGGCGAUUCUCUGGACUGUAACUGACGCUGAGGCACGAAAGCGUGGGUAGCAAACAGGAUUAGAUACCCUGGUAGUCCACGCCGUAAACGAUGAGUACUAGGUGUAGGAGGUAUCGACCCCCUUCUGUGCCGCAGUAAACACAUU
rnacentral:rRNA from 1 species